ACUGCGUCCGGGUCCUGAAAAAAGCGCUCGGCUCGUGGAGCGAAGCAGCGGACGUCGCGCCAAACGAUCCACGGCACAACCACCGAAAACCCACCUCAGAGCUCGGCCCCGCCAGCCAACCGUCGUUAAUCGGAGGUGCGGCUCGCUUCACACCACCACACCUGCCAAUCGACUCGCUGUGGUGAAGCCAUUUAUGCUGCUGGGUGGACAGAAGCGGACGGAGGGAACGACUCGGAGGCGCGAGGAAGAACCACAAAGACGAGCGGGAGAGGCAGAAGCAGCCAUGCGGUGAGCCGGUGCCAAAUUUCCUCUCUCCAUCGCCUCCAAGCUCUGCGGUCCUCUAUAUACCAAGGUGUCAUCGGCCAAUGAAUAAGUGUUUUCUUGUGGGAGGAAACCGGAGCACCCGCAGAAAACCCAUGCAUGCGAGGGGGCAACACUCUAUCCCGUACGGAUGGGACAGACGACAUUUGUCCACAUUUUCUGUUCUGCCUUGUCCGGGGCGAGCCGGGGUACAGCAAACCUCCUCGACACCCACAGGAAGGGAGUUUCACAGCGUUUGUGCGGUGAUCCACCAAACUCGCUGCUGCCUCACAGGACCACGUGCGUAGCCGCCACCGCCCAUCUCGGGCGUUUAUUGGUGAGGUUCUCUUUAAGGCCGCCUUUCUUGCACACAGGCCCUAUCUGUGAGCAGGCCAAGGGCACAAUUAGCCUCUGUAGGCACACUCCGCACGUGACCUAAUUCGUGCCUUUUUACAGCAGCUUUGCAGAUAUACGGUUACAAUGCAUGUUACAAAAACACAUUUCUUUUUUUAUACCCAGCUGUUGAAACAUGACUUCCUAUUUACGGCCAGAGGUGGUCGAGGGUUGGGACACUGAGAGCCAUUAAGCGGCCUUUCGUUUGCAAUGUAUAUUUACAUUUAUUUUUUUUGGCUGUGUACGGGGAGCUUUGCGUGUAAUUUAAAAAAAAAAUUAGGGGCCCCAAUGUGCUUUCACGUCGGGCCCGUUCGAAUGCGAGUGCCGUUUAGCACAAGGGGACACGAAAGAAGGGACGUGCCUGAGAGGACGACCAUUGGGCGCAGAUACUCACUCCAAAAUAUAGGUUUUUUUUGGGUUAGGUCGCAUAAAUGAUGAUUGAUUAUUUACGCGAUCUAAGCCAAAAAGAAACCUGUGUUAUGGAUGAUGUUGGUCGCGAAAGCCUACGUGUUAAACCUACGAGCACUCGCUUGCACAUGUGGGCAUUCGCACCGUUCUUACAAGGCAAGGACUAAUCACGAAGGCGCCUGUGUUUAACAGAUGAGGAUUGUAUGUCAGUAGGGGGUGGAUAUCACCACGUGGUUUGAACCCAAACAUGCAAUUUUCGGGUAAUUUUUCAUAUUUGGACCUCGACGCUUUUUAUUUUUACCCAGGAAAGCCUCACUGAGUCUCAUGACUCUCUUUCAAGAGGGUCCUGCCAUGUUUUUGUAGGAGGGGUCAAUGAAUUCUGUGCAUAUUUUGCGGGAUUUUUUUUUUUCAAAUUUGGGCCGUUACGCUGGCGCACAAUGGCCUAACUCUUUUUGGAAUAACGUCACGGCAUCUCCACGUCCGCUGCAAAGGUAGAUGGCGCAUAGCCUUUGUUUAACGCACUCGCGACAUUCACCAGGGCGGGCCGUUAAGAUUCCAAACACAGACCUCAACAACUUGCGGUAAACACGCGACUGCUCGGCCCAGUUGCCCCCCCCCCCACCCCCACUACUCCCGGAAUGACGCCAUCGG